rnacentral:rRNA from 1 species
GACGAACCGUGCGAACGUUGUUCGGAAUCACUGGGCUUAAAGGGCGCGUAGGCGGGCUGCCGCGUCCGGGGUGAAAUCCUCCCGCUCAACGGGAGAACGGCCUCGGAUACGGGCGGCCUCGAGGGAGGUAGGGGCAUCGGGAACUGUGAGUGGAGCGGUGAAAUGCGUUGAUAUUCACAGGAACUCCGGUGGCGAAGGCGCGGUGCUGGACCUCAUCUGACGCUGAGGUGCGAAAGCCAGGGGAGCGAACGGG